rnacentral:rRNA from 1 species
UACGAAGGGGGCUAGCGUUGCUCGGAAUCACUGGGCGUAAAGCGCACGUAGGCGGCUUUCUAAGUCAGGGGUGAAAUCCUGGAGCUCAACUCCAGAACUGCCUUCGAUACUGGAGAGCUUGAGUCCGGGAGAGGUGAGUGGAACUCCGAGUGUAGAGGUGAAAUUCGUAGAUAUUCGCAAGAACACCAGUGGCGAAGGCGGCUCACUGGCCCGGUACUGACGCUGAGGUGCGAAAGCGUGGGGAGCAAACGGG